rnacentral:tRNA from 1 species
AUUGGUGGAAUCCACCAAUCAGAAAUAUGUUAAUAAUUCAUAUAGUUUAAUCUCAUAAAACAUUACAUUUUCAUUGUAAAAUCAAACAACCUUUUAUGA